UACGUAGGGCGCAAGCGUUGUCCGGAAUUAUUGGGCGUAAAGAGCUCGUAGGUGGCUUGUCACGUCGGGUGUGAAAGCUUGGGGCUUAACUCCAGGUCUGCAUUCGAUACGGGCUGGCUAGAGGUAGGUAGGGGAGAACGGAAUUCCUGGUGUAGCGGUGAAAUGCGCAGAUAUCAGGAGGAACACCGAUGGCGAAGGCAGGUCUCUGGGCCGAUACUGACGCUGAGGAGCGAAAGCGUGGGGAGCGAACAGG
rnacentral:rRNA from 1 species